GAGAGAGAGAGAGAGAGAGAGAGGUAUCAGCAAUGGAGGCGUUCGGGAAAAUAAGAGAAAACGUCUAUUAAUCAAUUUAAUGUUUAAUUCUAAUUCCAAUUCUGGGGUUUCGGUUUAUUUUAGUAUAGAAUUCUUCUUGGUUUCUUGUGAUUGCUAUUCACUUCCAUCACAACAAAUCCAUUGUGGGAUGUUAAUACCAGACGCCAGAUUAUGAAUAAUAUUUUGACCAGCCCCCCUCCGGUGAGUUCAAUGCCCAUACAAUAAUUAAGUUUUGUUGAGUUAUUUGGUUUAGAAUGAUAUACACAGCGAUUAACAAUUUCUACUUAGCCGAUGAGCAUCUAAAGAACUCACCUUCUAGGAAAGAUGGUAUUGAUGAAGAUACUGAAACUACCUUACGAAUCUAUGGCUGUGAUCUCAUCCAAGAAAGUGGCAUCUUGCUUAAACUGUAUCCUGUUUUUUUGAUUUCUUUAUAUGUUGGGUUUAUGAAAUUGUUUACUUUUCUUAAUUUUGUUGGUUCAGUAUGUUACCUUAAUCUUUGUACUUAAUUUUGUUGGUUCAGUAUGGCAGGUUCUAUUCCAUCGUUUCUAUUGCAAGAAAUCGUUUGACCGCUUCAAUGUUAAGAAAGUUGCUGCAAGCAGCUUGUGGCUUGGAUCAAAGCUGGAGGAAAGCCCAAGGAAAGCAAGACAAGUCCUUAUUGUUUUCCACAGAAUAGGGUGUAGGAUGGAGAACUUACCGAUAGAGCAUUUGGAGAUUGGUUCACAGAAAUAUCAUGACCUCAAGACUGACUUGAACAAACACCUCCAGAACUGAGGCAGGAAGCUUGGAAUCUAGCAAAUGAUAGGCAUAGGGAAUGAGGCAGGAUGUAAUUCCUUACAAAGAUACGCUUUCUGCAUUGACAAGGAUAGCACAUGAGGAAGGCAUUUGAGGAUUGUACAUGAAAAGGAGGCUGGAUGAGAUAAGAUUUCAGCAAUACAGCCGAACCUUUGUUCAAUCAUGGAUCCUACAAGAAUGGAGUUGAUCCAAAUGGUAGAAGCAUGGAAAAGCCAAGAACCAAGGAGGAUGUAACUGAUAGAACCAAACCUUGGCAGUUGUCUGAAAUUGUGGAUGCUGUCCAGUUCUGAUUAGUUACCAUGCCUGAAGGCACAGAUUCUUCCAGCAAGGUUGUUCGACUUCUAUAUGCAAAUUCUGGCAUUUGGGUCAGAUGGUGUUCAGAAGCUGUGGAAAUGGGCAGGGAACGAACAAAAUCCAAAUGGAAAGGCCACUGCCAAUAUUGUUCCUCAACACUGGCAACCAAACAGUGGUCUUCUUAUGGCUAAUGAUGUCUCAGGUGUCAUCCUUGAAGAAUCAGUACCAUGUAUAGCACUAUCAAAAAAUGACUCAUGUGAUGUCAGCCUGUGGUGAAAAGGUUUCAUUAUUUAAUAUGAUGACAUUCAAGGUAAUGACAACAUUUAUGCCGGCACCCCCUGCUUCUACCUUCCUAGCAUUUCAUCCUCAAGACAAUAACACACAUCAUAGCUAUUGGAAUGGAGGAUUCAGUUAUACACAUAUAAUGUUAGAGUUGAUAAGCCUUGUUCAAAUGGGAUUUGCUACUGGUGGAAAAACAUUCUUAAUGUGUGGUGGGUAUUGCUUUUUGCCAUGGUCAUGGAAUCUUGCAUAGGCUUUACUAGUUCGGAUCCUUCUAGGAGUUCUUCUUGGGAAAACUUGAGGUACCAUUAUUUUUUAAUGUUCAUGUUCCUUUGGAGUAUGAUUUUUCUAGGUGCUGAAGUUCUAGGAUUGAGUGCAAAAUUAAGCCCAAUGUUGAUUUUGAACCUUUUUAUAUAUUCAUCCGGUUGAUUCUUACCAAAGUUCUUAUUUGCAAUCGAAUAUGCAAUUCUUAUUUAACUAUCUGUAAUCUAUGACCAUUAUUUUCCUUUUUCUAUUUCCACAUGAUUUUCUAUAAAGAAUGAUGGUGUGAAGACUCUUAUUUAACGGUAAAAAAUUAAAAAUAGCCAAAUAUCACUAUUUUUAGAGUGUUACUCGAGCAGCACUUACACGGUCAAUAAUUGUGAUUGCACUCACACAGUCAACAAUGUGGCUUUGGGUGUUUCUCUUUUUUCUUUCUUCUGUCUGGGUCACGUGGGAAAAGGUAGUCACACAGUCAACAAUUGUGGCUUUGGGUUUCUCUUUUUUCUUUCUUCUGUCUGGGUCACGUGGGAAAAGGUAGUCACACAGUCAACAAUGUGGCUUUGGGUGUUUCUCUUUUUUCUUUCUUCUGUCUGGGUCACGUGGGAAAAGGUCGUCACACAGUUAACAAUUGUGGCUUUUUUUUUUUUUUUUUUUUUUUUUUUCUUCUUUUGUCAGUGUCAUGUAGGAAAAGGUAGCGAAAGAGUUUGAAACAGAGCCAAUAAGUUAUAUAUUAGAAGGGACUCGAGUUUCGAGUGAACUUUUUUAAGAGUUUAUGUCAAAUUUGAGUUUAAAAAAAAUGAUAUAUUGUUAUGUAUUUCUCAAAUAGUAAUACUAAUAAUUUGAAAAAAAUAGUUGUAUUUGGCUAUUUCAGCCCCAUUACUUGGCCAUUAUUUAUUGUUUUAAACUUAAACUGUAGAAGUCUCUUGUGAGUUGUGAUAGCCCUCUGUUACUCCAAACUCCUAAGAGCCUUCUAUGUCUCCCUUCACACUCAUGAUGUUAAUUAAAAGGCGAUCCAUUCUCCUGCUCUUGGCUUUUCUAUUAGUGCAGCCAUGCAUACUUCACUUGUCCCACUCUUCCAACAACUUUACAGAUCAAUCAGCUCUCAUUGCCUUCAAAUCUGAAAUCAGUUCUCAUCCAGAUGAUACUAUCUUCUCUGCCAGUAACUGGUCCACAACAGCAAACUUCUGUGAGUGGUUUGGGGUCUCUUGCAGCCGACGCAGACAGAGAGUCACAGCCUUGAACCUUUCCUAUGUGGAUCUUCACGGCACCAUUUCCCCUCAUAUUGGCAACCUCUCCUUCCUGGUCUCACUUGAUCUUCAUAACAACAGCUUCUCUGGUUUUCUGCCACAUGAGAUUGGUAAUCUACACCGCUUGAGGGAACUUCUGUUGUCAAACAACCUAUUGGAAGGUAGUAUUCCUCCGACUCUACAUAAUUGCCAGAAGCUUGAAGUUUUAUUUCUUUAUGGUAACAACUUAAAUGGUAGCAUACCUAAAGAUUUAGGCAUGUUACCAAGGGUUCGCAAAAUAGUCCUUAGAUCAAACAAUCUUAUGGGUACAAUUCCAUCGUCCCUCGGCAAUAUGUCGUCAUUAGAGUUAUUUCUUUUGGAUGACAAUAGCCUCACCGGUGCAUUUCCUCUUGUCAUCUUUAACUUGUCUUCUCUAAAGAGUAUUUCUAUUGGAAGAAAUAACCUCUCAGGAACCCUUCCAGUGGAUCUUUGUAGCGGCUGUCCUAAUCUUCAAGGACUGUAUAUUUCCCACAACAAAUUCAGCGGUAAGCUCCCCUCACAGUUUAAUAACUGCAGAGAGCUUUUAGAAUUAUCUCUAUCAUACAAUAUGUUUGAUGGAAGUAUUUCAAAAGGUUUUGGGAGUUUAAAGAAGCUUGAACUCCUCUAUCUUGGAGGUAACAACUUAAUUGGAAACAUUCCUCCUAUCAUAAGCAAUUUAUCGAUGUUACAACAGUUUGCUGCUGAAACAAACAACAUUAAAGGAAGCAUGCCAAGUGAUUUAUGGCGUCUCCAAAAUCUGAAUGUAUUGGGUAUUAGUAAUAACGAUCUCACUGGGACAAUACCCCAAAAUAUUUUCAACAUUACCUCUCUACAAGAUCUCCAAUUGUCGGUUAAUUCCUUGUCUGGAAAUCUUUCAUUCGAUACUAGGAUCCCUUGCCCUAAUCUUGAAAUGUUGUAUCUUGGUGGCAACAACAUUAGCGGUCGUAUCCCAUCAUAUCUUUCAAAUUGUUCCAACCUCGUCCGAGUAGAUUUAUCUGGAAAUUUACUCUCUGGGCCUAUACCUAGAAGUCUUGGAAACUUAAAAUAUCUCAAAAUCUUGAGUCUAGGUGAUAAUCAACUAACAGAGGAGUCUGGGCAUCAAGAGCAUAGUUUUCUUACAUCUUUAACCAGUUGCACAUCUUUAGAGUUGCUAGAUAUUUCCAUCAAUCCCUUGAAUAUUACAAUUCCAAAAACCAUUGGAAAUUUUUCAGCUUCGCUUAAAUUCUUUGGUGCAAGUCAAAGCCAAAUAAAGGGUCAAAUUCCAAUGGGAAUCGGUUCCUUGAAAAAUUUGACCUUGCUUGAUUUGAGCUAUAACAAUUUGUCUGGAAAUUUACCGUCAACGUUAGGGGGAUUAGAGGAAUUGCAAAGAUUGCAUCUUAGUGACAAUAAUAUUGGAGGAAAUAUUCCAGAAGAGCUUUGUCAGCUAAACAAGCUGGGAGAACUAUUUCUCUCAAAUAACAAAAUUUAUGGAUCCAUCCCGAAUUGCAUUGGAAACCUCAAUCUUUUGCAGGGAUUAAACUUGAGUUAUAACAAACUAACAUCAUCAAUCCCAUUGAAUGUGUGGAAUCUUGAAAAUUUGUUGUUCUUGGAUUUAUCAUCAAAUUCCCUCUACGGAUCUUUGUCUCCAAACAUGAAAAAACUCAGAGUUAUUGUGUACUUGAAUUUAUCUCAUAACCAAAUUACUGGAAAAGUUCCAAGUAUCAUUGGUGCUUUUGAAAGUCUUAGUAAUCUUGAUUUGUCAAAGAAUUCAUUUCAAGGAGACAUUCCAGAUUCUUUUGGGCAAUUGAAAGGAAUGGAUCUGCUGGACCUCUCUAACAAUAAUCUCUCAGGUGCAAUUCCUAAGUCUCUGGAGGCACUUCAGUUUCUCAAGUAUUUGAAUUUGUCGUUCAAUAAGUUAUUAGGAGAGAUACCAUCUGGUGGACCUUUUGCAAACUUCAAGGCAAAAUCAUUUUUAGGUAAUGAAGCACUUUGUGGGAAUUCAAUUUUUGGAGUUCCAGCUUGCACGAGUCCCAGUUCUAAAGGAGCAAGGAUGAAACAACUUUUGCUCAAAUAUAUUAUUCCUAGCAUUGCAUCAAUUAUAAUCUUUGCAAUGCUUGUUAUUAUGCUAAGAAGACAUCCACAAUAUAACAUGCAAAUUCCAAGUUCACUUUUCACAUUACCUACAGUGGAUUGGAGAAUGAUAUCAUAUCAAGAACUUUGUCUUGGGACAAACAACUUUUGUGAAAGCAACUUGCUUGGAAUUGGAGGGUUUGGUACUGUGUACAAAGGGAUACUGUCUGAUGGGACUACUGUUGCUGUAAAAGUUCUAAACCUGCAUUUGGAGGAUGCUUUUAAAAGUUUUGAUGCUGAAUGCAAGGUGUUAAGGGCAUUACGACAUAGAAAUCUAGUUAAAGUCAUUAGUGUAUGCUCCAAUCCCCAGUUUAAAGCUUUGGUGUUGCAAUACAUGUCAAAUUAUAGCCUUGAAAAGUGGAUAUACUCUCACAACUACUGCUUGAAUCUUGUUCAAAGAGUAGGCAUUAUGGUUGAUGUUGCAUUGGCAUUAGAUUAUCUCCAUAAUGGUCAAUUAGAAUCCGUGGUGCAUUGUGAUUUGAAGCCUAGCAAUAUCCUUUUGGAUGAGGACAUGGUUGCACAUGUUGGAGACUUUGGCAUUGCAAAGAUUUUAGCUGAAAACAAGGACGCAACCCAAACCAGAACCAUUGGUACAAUUGGCUACAUCGCACCAGAUAUGAGGAGGAGAUGAAGUCUGCAGCAGAUUUCGUGGAACCCGCCAAGCUUUACACAGCCAAACCCCAUGGCUCUCUCUUUUGAUUUUCCUUUGAUGUGUGCACUGUUGAGAUUGUUUGACUUUGUAUUUCUGGAAUGGGGUUUUGAUUUAGCUUUCAACAUGGGUUUGGAAAUGAGGUAGUCUUUGUGGUGGCAGUUUGUUGAAGAAAGUUGGGUUUUGGAAUAGAUUAGUGUAAGAAAGGCGAAGACAUGUUGGGUCUUUUGAUUGAAUUUUUUUAUAAUUGCAAUCUGUUAUAAGUUCUGUCAUUUGUAUUUGUCAAAGACUAAAUUAUUGUUAAAUGGUGCAUAAAAAAUAAUUUUUUCUUACCAACUCCUGGUUAAUUAACACUUACUUGAUAGUGGCUGCUAGCUGCUUUUAUAUUUGUUAGGGGUGUCUCUUUCUUUAGAGAAUUUAUUAGCUGAAUGCAAUUACUUUCCCCUGUAUUCUGUAUGAUAGGAGGUUUUGUAUUGUUUUUAAUUUCUGUAUAAUAAAAAUAUGAAAUUAAUAAAAGGCACCUUUAAUACUUAACUAUUUUGUAUUGGCGAGGAUGGUUGUUUUCUGAUUUAAGAAAUGAGCUUGGUUGGUUCUAUUAGUACUUUACCAUUUAGUAUUGAUGAGUUUACCACUUAACUGAGUUUAUUGUUAUCUUCAGGCCAAUUAAUUUUGGGAAGUUUCUAAGUCAAUUAUAGUACUUUUGAUUGUUGAGUUUUUUUAGUCAUUAUUCUUUCUUUGUCUCUAAAAAAAUCAGGUUUCCUUUAUGUUUAAAUAUCUUCUAUUUUCUGUUUGGCAAUAUAUUCUUUUGAUAUACAAUAUAGGCUUUACCUUUUGGUGCUUAUCUUACUUGCAUCCCAUGUUCUAGGAUUGUGCCCUGUAUUGCGCCUUUUCUAAGAAAAUGUUUUACCUAUAAAAAUACAAAGUAGCAUACAAUGUAUACUUCUUUUUAGGGGGAUGUCUUCAUUUUCAUUUUUUGGCUAAUGUGUGUCCUCUCUCAUCGUCUUGUGCUCAGCUUCCUCCCAAUGCAGGUACAUCAAUUAUUGAUGGCUUGAAGAGAUUGUACAUUGAAAAGCCAAAGCCACUAGAAGUUGCAUAUAUUUUAUUUGGCUAGUUCCAUAUUAAUCUUUUAAACUAGAGGCUGUGGUUUGCAAAAUGGAGAUAUUUAGAUCUUUCUAGUUUUGCUGUCAAGUGUACACUCUAGAUUUUAAGGCCUCUAUAGCAGAGGAUUGAUUUUUAUUUGCAUUUUUGCAGACAAAUAGUGAUUUUGAUGCUAAACCCAUGGUCUUUUGGGUCAAUAUUCAACUGGAAAGACAACUUUUAUAAAACAUUUGCUAAAAAUGAACUACCCAGGUGCUCACAUUGGACCAGAGCGUACAACAGAUAGAUUUGUUGUUGUUAUGAAUUUUUGGUCAUGGAAUCUUGCACGGAUAAUUUCCUCUGAAACGAUUUGUUGCCAUAUAGAAUUUUUGGUCAUGGAAUCUUGUACAGGUAAUUUCCUCUGAAACCUUUUGUUGCCAUAUAGGCAAAUUCCUCUCAUUUGCUCUCACAGUGUUUCUUACUAGUUAGUUCUAUACAACUUAUAACCGUUUUAUCUUCCUUUGUUUGUUUUUGUCUUCUCUAUUUUCUUCUUGUGUUUCUUAAUAUGCUGUGUGAUUCCAUGGUAGUUGGCAUGGUCAUCUGUGGGUCCUUGUGAACGUUUUUUAGUUUUAAUUGACCAUACUUGACAAGUAUCCUUUAGUAUAUAUAUAAAAAGAUUACAAUAUGAAAAUAAUACUUGAACUAAAUGGGUGAUCUAGUCAUCUUUGGUUCCCUGCAAACAUUGUUUAGUUAGUUAGAUGAUUUCUUAAGCAUUAGCCGAUAGGAUUUAGACACUUGUCAACCAUCUAGAGGCUACCAAUGGCAAACAACUAGUAUAAGUAGUAGAAUGUAAGCUCUUUGUAAAUCAGUUUUGGUAAUUGAAUGAAUUGUUAGCCUUUGUGUGUUAUUUGGAACUAAGUGUUCUUGCAGAGGUACUUAUCCACCUACCAAUGUGUUCUAAGUAACUCAGCCCUUUCAUUGCUUCUAAACCAUACACAAGUAGCCCAUCACAUUCCCUACAUCAAGAACGAACAAAAACACUUGGGACUUUUGGUGAUCUGUUAUCUGAGCAGUUUGUUCGACAUGGUAGGUGUUGCAUAUGCUGAUUUAUGUUCUUUUUUUGCUGUUGAUAAUUUUUUUUCCUUUUAUAUUUUUUGUUUCCUUGGGAGCAUGAUCAAGAACGAACAAAAACACUUGGGACUUUUGGUGAUCUGUUAUCUGAGCAGUUUGUUCGACAUGGUGGCAUACCCUUGCCAAUAUUUUUUGAGUGGUGGCUAGCCAAAGAAAAGUUCUCUUUCAUUGAUUCUCUCUUCAUUUCCUGGUGCAACAUUCCAAGGAUGCAAUGGAUUGAGUGUCAAAUAUCAGAGCAUUGGUUACUUCCUCUAAACACUUGGCCUUGAACUGUUGCCUUCUCACAAAUUGACUCCUGUCACAGUUAAAGAGUGGUGGAGAAGUACUAAAAUUCUCUAGUGUGGUACUUCUAGUUUUUUAGAACCUCUCUUGAGACCCUCCUCAGAAACUGUUGCUCUUGAUCCUGCUGAAGACAUAGAUGUGAAAACAGAAAGAAAUAGGGUACUUUCAGGCUAAAUUGAUAAUGCCAUCAUCUACUUGCGUAAUCUUCAGAAGGAGAAUGUUUUGGAUUUUUAGGAACAAAUGGAGCUGGGCAAACCACAACACUUUCAAAGCUGUCUGGAGAAGAAUCCCCAACUGAUGGAACUGCUUUUAUUUUUGGCAAAGAUAUAUAUGUUCCAAUCCCAGGGCUGCUUGUUGGCAUAUUGGGUAUUGCCCCUAAUUUGAUGCUCUAUUAGAAUUUUUGACUGUUUGAGAGCAUCUUGAGCUUUAUGCAAGAAUAAAAGGACUUCCAGAGUACAGGAUAGAUGAUGUAUGUAUUUUAGGUCAAACCUUAUAGUUCAUUUUACUCAUUAAGCUGGUGGUUAAAUCAGAAUCUGGUCUGCUCUUUGUAGCCACAACCAACUUAGAAUUUCUUCAUGUUUGAUUCGCUGGGAUUUGAUUGUGCAUCAAUGAAAUGUUUUUGUUCUGGGCUCUUUUUCCUCAGUUUCAGAUUGAGUGUAUUAGUUAGACAAUCUAGUUGGUUCUGUGUGUGUAUGAGAGAGAGAGAGAGAGAGAGAAGAAGAAGAAGAAGAAGAAGAAGAAAUGAUCUUGAUCUGGUUUGUUGUUCUCAAAUAUUUAUUUAUUUUAGAUUGGUAGUAAGAAUUUGUAUUAAUAUUUAAAAUAAAGAGUACAAUUAUACAGAGUC